UACGUAGGGUGCGAGCGUUGUCCGGAAUUAUUGGGCGUAAAGAGCUCGUAGGCGGUUUGUUGCGUCUAUCGUGAAAACCUGCAGCUUAACUGUGGGCUUGCGGUGGAUACGGGCAGACUUGAGUUCGGUAGGGGAGACUGGAAUUCCUGGUGUAGCGGUGAAAUGCGCAGAUAUCAGGAGGAACACCUGCGGCGAAGGCGGGUAGCUGGGCCGACACUGACGCUGAGGCGCGAAAGCCAGGGGAGCGAACGGG
rnacentral:rRNA from 1 species